CACCCCACUCCCUGAGCCAGUCCUUGGCAGCUCCACAGGCCCAGGCCCCAUCCUUCUGUUUCCCCAGCACAUCCUUUAAAAAGUCCCUCACUCCAGAUGAGUGGACAUACGGUGGUUUCAUCAUCCUGAUUUUUCUUCCAAAAACCUUCCCCGUGCGGCUCCAGCAAGCCCAGGGGUUCCCACGCUCAGCAGCUCCACCCCCGGCCUCGCUGCAGCUGCAGCCCCUGUGGCUUUACAGUCAGCAUCCCUCUGGGUGAGGAGGAAGCUGGCCCUGAGUCCCAGUGGCCACCACGGCUCUGGCCGCGGGCGCCACCGAGUCUUCCGGUGUCUCCAGGGAAGGGGAGCAGAGAAAUGUUUAUCCUGAAUGACAUCUUACAUGGGACCUCAAUAUAUAGAACAGCUGCCCUGUAGGGGCUCAGCGGCAGUGGGUGUAAAAUGGGGAGAUGGCCUCCUGGGUCCUGUGUUCCUGGGCACCCGGUGGGUAGGGAGCCCCAGGAUGCUUUAGAUUAGAAACACGGUGGACAGCAGACUCUGGUGUGGGACGGAUGGGGGUUCUGAACCUCGCUAGCAAAGUGCUGCUGAGUCUUGGGGUCUUCAGCCGAGAAAUGGGGAGAAUGCAGGCCUCCCGGAUGAUAAAGGCGAGUGUCAACCUGGCACAGAAGCACCCUCACGGGGUGGCCAUGGGUGGAGCAGGGGGUACCCUGGGCACCUGGACUCACCCGCUUAUCGGGCCAUCGGUGCAUCAGACCUCAGGCCAGACUUGGGUGGCCGUCCCGGUGCUUGCGGGACCCUGGGGCACAGAACUGCUCACCCCAGGGUCCGAGGCCUGCCUGGAGCCGUCUCUGGCCCCACUGCUCCUCCAGUCUGGGCCCUUCCCUGGCGAUGACACUGUUUGUCACUCUUCAUCUGCUGGUACAAACAAGGACAUCAGCUGACCUUGCCCUUCCUAAUUGUACUUUUGUCACUGCUAUAUCUGCUUUGUGUUUUAAGCCACCCUGAGGGGCUGGUGGGGAGCCAGGCUGGCUCUGGUUUGAGGGACCCUCCCUUCGCCCAGGGCCCUGUGGGCGCCCACUCGUCUGUCCCAGGCUUGGGUGGAGCCCAGAUGUGAGAUGCUGUGAUGGCUUUGGGGAGCCACCUCCUUCCCUCUGGCUCCAUGGCCUCGUCCUGUUAUCAGAGCCCCUUCCAACUUCUCCACCCCCACUCCCACCUCUCACCUCCUCUUCCUCAGCUCCCCCCUGGCACAAGGAAAGGGGGUCAUCAGCCCCCUGGGGGGACCCCUUCUCUCCACCCCCCCGGUCCAGGCCUCGCCCUGAGAUGGCAACAGCUGGUGCCCAGUGGAGCGGGGCUGGGCAGGCUCGCCCACCUGUCCCUGCCGGCAUCGUGGCCCCCCAGACGCCUGGCCAGCGCCCCACCGGGCACUGGGGGAAGGACCCAGGACGGGAAAAGACACGAAGCACCACAGACCAGCUUCGGCACAACUAAACUUGUUUAAUGCAAGGGGAAAAAAAGGUCUUCGAUCUUUUGUUCUUUUUUCUUCCUAUGGCACCAUCAGGAGUGAACCAAGUCCCUGGGAGGAGGCCGUCCCCUUCCUCACCUCUUGCCAGGCUGGUGGGGGGUGGGGGGCACAGCCAACACUGGGGCACAGGCUCGGAGAGCUCGGUGCCGGGAGGGCUGCGGGAGGUUCCCUGA